rnacentral:rRNA from 1 species
GACGAACGCUGGCGGCGUGCCUAACACAUGCCAGUCGAACGGACAGGCCCUGCUUUUGUGCGGUGCUCGAGUGGCCAACGGGUGAGUAACACGUGAGUACCCUGUACUUGACUUUGGGAUAACUUCAGGCAACUGGGGCUCUUACCGGAUAGGAGCUACUGCCGCAUGGUGGGGGUUGGACAGUUUCGGCGGUUGGGGAUGGACUCGCGGCUUCUCAGCUUGUAGGUGGGGUUGGGGCUUACCAAGGCUUUGACGGGUAGCCGGCCUGACAGGGUGACCGGCCACAUUGGGACUGAGAUACGGCCCAGACUCCUACGGGAGGCAGCAGUGGGGAAUAUUGCACAAUGGGCGGAAGCCUGAUGCAGCAACGCCGCGUGCGGGAUGACGGCCUUCGGGUUGUAAACCGCUUUCGCCUGUGACGAAGCGUGAGUGACGGUAAUGGGUAAAGAAGCACCGGCUAACUACGUG